rfam:Schistosoma mattheei strain Denwood, Zambia genome assembly, scaffold: SMTD_scaffold0011196
AUCCAGCUGACGAGUCUGGAAUAGGACGAAACGCGCGUCCUGGAU